rnacentral:rRNA from 1 species
GAUGAAUGCUGGCGGCGUGCCUAACACAUGCAAGUCGAGCGGCAGCGCGGUCUUCGGACUGGCGACGAGCGGCGGACGGCUGAGUAACGCGUGGGAACGUACCCCAAAGUGAGGAAUAACUGCCCGAAAGGGUAGCUAAUGCCGCAUAUGGUCUUCGGAUUAAAGGAUUUAUCCGCUUUGGGAACGGCCUGCGUACGAUUAGAUUGUUGGUGAGGUAAUGGCUCACCAAGUCGACGAUCGUUAACUGGUCUGAGAGGAUGAUCAGUCAGACUGGAACUGAGACACGGUCCAGACUCCUACGGGAGGCAGCAGUGAGGAAUCUUCCACAAUGGGCGAAAGCCUGAUGGAGCAACGCCGCGUGCAGGAUGAAGGCCUUCGGGUCGUAAACUGCUUUUAUAAGUGAAGAAUAUGACGGUAACUUAUGAAUAAGCACCGGCUAACUACGUGCCAGCCGCCGCGGUAA